rnacentral:rRNA from 1 species
AAAUUCUUUACGUAUUCUGCCCAGCGCAUAAUUUGUUAACGGCCGCAGUACCUUGACUGUGCUAAGGUAGCAUAAUCAAUUGGCUUUUAAUUGAAGUCUGGAAUGAAAGGUUUAAUAAAGAAUUUUCUGUCUUCUUUAAAUUUUAUUGAAUUUAUUUAGUAAGUGAAAAUACUUAAUUAAAGAAAAAAGACGAGAAGACCCUUAGAAUUUUUAAUAACAACUUUUUUAAAGUUUAUUUUUUUGUUGGGGCGACAUUUAAACAUUUAAACUUUAAAUACUUUACUGGACAUUAAGUUUUGUAAGAUAAAAUUACCUUAGGGAUAACAGCAUAAUGAUUAUUAUAGUUUGUGACCUCGAUGUUGGACUAGGAACUAUAAGACUAACCGUCAAAUUAGAUUGUUCUGUUCGAACAUUUAACUCCU